GCAGAAGAGGAAAAGUGGAAAUUCCCAAGUGUAAGCGGUGAAAAUGCGUAGAGAUUGGGAGGAACACCCAGUGGUGAAAGGCGACUUUCUGGUCUGUAAUGACGUUGAGGCGCGAAAGCGUGGGGAGCAAACAGGGAUUAGAUACCCUGGUAGUCCACGCCGUAAACGAUGAGUGCUAAAGUGUUAGGGGGUUUCCGCCCUUUAAGUGCUGCAGCUAACGCAUUAAGCACUCCGCCUGGGGAGUACGGUCGCAAGACUGAAACUCAAAAGGAAUUGACGGGGGCCCGCACAAGCGGUGGAGCAUGUGGUUUAAUUCGAAGCAACGCGAAGAACCUUACCAGGUCUUGACAUCCCGUUGACCACUGUAGAGAUAUAGUUUCCCCUUCGGGGGCAACGGUGACAGGUGGUGCAUGGUUGUCGUCAGCUCGUGUCGUGAGAUGUUGGGUUAAGUCCCGCAACGAGCGCAACCCUUGAUCUUAGUUGCCAUCAUUUAGUUGGGCACUCUAAGGUGACUGCCGGUGACAAACCGGAGGAAGGUGGGGAUGACGUCAAAUCAUCAUGCCCCUUAUGACCUGGGCUACACACGUGCUACAAUGGACGAUACAAACGGUUGCCAACUCGCGAGAGGGAGCUAAUCCGAUAAAGUCGUUCUCAGUUCGGAUUGUAGGCUGCAACUCGCCUACAUGAAGCCGGAAUCGCUAGUAAUCGCGGAUCAGCAU
rnacentral:rRNA from 1 species